UGCAGUUGUCAGUGAUAGAAACCCUAGGGUUUAUCGAUCUCGCAGUCGUCGGCGGUGAGCGCGAGAGACCAUAUCGCGACCAUGUCGAUGUCGAAGGGAUCGAAAAUGCUUCAGUAUAUUAACUACCGGAUGCGCGUCACCAUCCAGGACGGUCGCCAGCUUGUCGGCAAGUUCAUGGCGUUCGACCGCCACAUGAACCUCGUCCUCGGUGACUGUGAGGAGUUCCGAAAACUCCCUCCCGCUAAGGGCGCCUCCAAGAAUAUCGACGGUGAACGCGAGGAUCGUCGCACGCUCGGCCUCGUCCUCCUCCGUGGCGAGGAGGUCGUGUCCAUGACCGUCGAGGGCCCCCCGCCUCCCGACGAGUCCCGCGCUAAGGCCAACGCUGCAGCCGCCCUCGCUGGCCCUGGGGUCGGUCGCGCCUCCGGCCGUGGCAUCCCCACAGCGCCCCUUGUCCAGGCACAGCCUGGUCUCGCCGGACCCAUUCGUGGCGUUGGUGGACCCGCUCCUGGGAUGAUGCACCCGCAGAUCUCGCGCCCUCCCGUUCCUCAGCUAUCUGCGCCGCCAAUCUCGUAUCCCCAAGUAGUCCGUCCGCCUGCUCCGGGGCAGGUUCCUGGUUUCCCAGGCCAGCCCCCGGCUGUUGGCCUGCGCCCACCUGGGGCUGGGCCAAUGCAGUUUGCUUCCAGGCCUGGGGCUCCACCCCCUUCAUUUCCGAUGCACCCACCGCAGCUUGGGCAGAGGCCUCCAUUCCCGAUGCCCCCGCCAGGGAUGCGGCCUGGUAUGCCUGCUCCAUUUCCUCCAAGGCCAGGUAUGCCACCACCACCUGGUGGACAGGUCCCUCCUGUGUUUGCUCCGCCAAGACCUGGAAUGCCACCGCCGAACCAACAGCAGGGCCCGAACCAGUAGUGCUUUAAGUCCAGGUAUCCUUGUAUCCUUGACAUCUUUUGCAGGACUUCUGGCCUUCACCUCUCUCAGCCUACUUGUGCGGGAAAUCUAAAUCCUAGAAGAGAUGUGCAGACUUGUGGAUUGCGGAAGAGGAAGCUGCCUAGAGUCGCCAAACUCUACCUUUGGAUUCAGGUGCGAGUGCAAUCCUGGCUGGACCCAGUUCCAUUUCACGCCCCGACACCUCCCCUUCCUACCCUGUGUCAUGCCCAACUGUGUAUUCGAUCACAUUUGUUACAACGACUCCAUGGCCCGGCCGCCUUCAACCAUCACACAGCCUUCAAAUCGGUCCCUGCUCUUCGAUCCGUGCAUGUGGUCCUUCUGCGGCCGUGGAAGAUGUGCGAGAACGACCAGUUUUGGCCAUCGCUGUGAGUGCAAAGAGGGGUUUAGCAACCUUCUAAACGACACCAAUCUUCCAUGUCUGAAAGAGUGCGUCGUCACGGCUGAUUGUCCAAUCCUGGGGUUCGCACUGUCAAAUGGAUCAUCUUCCCCACCUAAUUUUUCUUACAGAAGCAGUGGAGAUUUUUCUGCUCGAGGAGAUUUCCUGUGGGUGGUCAUGAUCAUGAUGUGCCUGCUCGUGCCGCUGAGAACGAGUAAACAAGUCUGAAGUGUAUGGACAGGAUUCUCCAUCAGACACUUUUUGUCGAAGGAUUAAGUGGUGAAAAUAAUGUCCUGUUUCUUCUUCGGGGUGGAGUCCUCAUUCUUUUGCUUCGUCUUCUAUGUACAGAUCAAGUACCUGAUACAAUUUAUAAUCGGAUUGUUUUUAAAGCAUGAAAGUCAUAAACACUG